AAGACAAGAGAUGCUCCGACUAGCCAAGGAGACUGCCUGCAACCAACCAGUUCCACUGUAUGAUGAGUUUCUGAAGAUCAACUCGCUGGAAGCAGGCAAGUCAUCCUUGGCUAUCAAAACAAGGCUCUCAUCC
rfam:Eucalyptus grandis cultivar BRASTZ1 unplaced genomic scaffold scaffold_9, whole genome shotgun sequence.